AGGACGAACGCUGGCGGCGUGCUUAACACAUGCAAGUCGAGCGGAAAGGCCCUUCGGGGUACUCGAGCGGCGAACGGGUGAGUAACACGUGAGUAAUCUGCCCCUAGCUCUGGGAUAGCUCCGGGGAAACCGGGAUUAAUACCAGAUACGACCACUUUAGACAUCUCUUGUGGUGGAAAGAAUUUCGGCUGGGGAUGAACUCGCGGCCUAUCAGCUUGUUGGUGACGGUAACGGCUCACCAAGGCGUACGACGGGUA
rnacentral:rRNA from 1 species